CCUACGGGAGGCAGCAGUGGGGAAUCUUGCGCAAUGGGCGAAAGCCUGACGCGGCAACGCCGCGUGCGGGAAGAAGGCUUUCGGGCUGUAAACCGCUUUCAGCAGGAACGAAAAUGACGGUACCUGCAGAAGAAGGAGCGGCCAACUAUGUGCCAGCAGCCGCGGUGAUACAUAGGCUUCAAGCGUUGUCCGGAUUUAUUGGGCGUAAAGAGUUCGUAGGCGGUCGAGUAAGUCGGGUGUGAAAAUUCUGGGCUCAACCCAGAGACGCCACCCGAUACUGCUUGACUUGAGUUCGAUAGGGGAGUGGGGAAUUCCUAGUGUAGCGGUGAAAUGCGCAGAUAUUAGGAGGAACACCGGUGGCGAAGGCGCCACUCUGGAUCGAUACUGACGCUGAGGAACGAAAGCAUGGGUAGCAAACAGGAUUAGAUACCCUGGUAGUCCAUGCCGUAAACGGUGGGCACUAGGUGUGGGUUUCUAUUAACGAAAUCCGCGCCGUCGCUAACGCAUUAAGUGCCCCGCCUGGGGAGUACGGUCGCAAGACUAAAACUUAAAGGAAUUGACGG
rnacentral:rRNA from 1 species